UAACUAGAAGGCCUGGUGCGUUCCUCCAGUGGACACACCACAAAGAGCCGGUUACAUUUGGGCACAAGACAGCUCUGCUGCCCAGCGGAGGACCUUCCUAUGUAGUUCAGGCUGGCCUUGAACUCACAGCAAUCCUCCUGUCUCAGCCUCCUGAGUGUUGUGGCCUCCUGCUCCCAGGCUGUGCAAGCUGCAGGGUGGGCCAGCCCACCAAGAUGGGGUCGAUAACUGGGAAGAAAGGGUACCACCCAGCUCCACCAGGGUCCCCUGGGAUCUGUGCCCCAGGAAUGGAGUGGGUCCCCUCAUGCCUGUGUGCCCCGGAGGACUGAGGGAUGGUCUCAGCUUUCAGUCUCCCAGGGUGACCACCCAGAUGCACUUCGUCCCCCUGGAGCAUCAUCCUGAGGAGAGUUAGAGACCAUGUGUAUGACACCUCCACUUGGGUCCCCCCAGUAAAGUCUUUUGCCUGAGCAAGCCGGGCCUUAUCGGACAGAGCCCCAUUUCAUUCCAAAAGCACUGAGGCAAGAAGAGGACCAGAGACAGAUCAUGUGCGGGUACAAAUUCCCUGUGAUGAGUGUGACCAUGGUGUAUAUCUAAACUGUACCAAUAAAGUUAAUAAUAAAACUCUUUAAAAUGUU